AUAAGCAAUUACNAAGCGAAACUGCGAAUGGCUCAUUAUAUAAGUUAUCGUUUAUUUGAUAGUACCUUACUACAUGGAUAACCGUGGUAAUUCUAGAGCUAAUACAUGCUGAAAAUCCCGACUUCGGAAGGGAUGUAUUUAUUAGAUUCAAAACCAAUGCCCUUCGGGGCUCCAAUGGUGAUUCAUGAUAACUUCUCGAAUCGCACGGCCCCGCGCCGGCGAUGGUUCAUUCAAAUUUCUUCCCUAUCAACUUUCGAUGCUACGGUAGUGUCCUAGCAUGGUUGCAACGGGUAACGGGGNA
rnacentral:rRNA from 1 species